rnacentral:rRNA from 1 species
AGACCCGAAACCCGGUGAUCUAGCCAUGGGCAGGUUGAAGGUUGGGUAACACUAACUGGAGGACCGAACCGACUAAUGUUGAAAAAUUAGCGGAUGACCUGUGGCUGGGGGUGAAAGGCCAAUCAAACCGGGAGAUAGCUGGUUCUCCCCGAAAGCUAUUUAGGUAGCGCCUCGUGAAUUCAUCUCCGGGGGUAGAGCACUGUUUCGGCUAGGGGGCCAUCCCGGCUUACCAACCCGAUGCAAACUGCGAAUACCGGAGAAUGUUAUCACGGGAGACACACGGCGGGUGCUAACGUCCGUCGUGAAGAGGGAAACAACCCAGACCGCCAGCUAAGGUCCCAAAGUCAUGGUUAAGUGGGAAACGAUGUGGGAAGGCCCAGACAGCCAGGAUGUUGGCUUAGAAGCAGCCAUCAUUUAAAGAAAGCGUAAUAGCUCACUGGUCGAGUCGGCCUGCGCGGAAGAUGUAACGGGGCUAAACCAUGCACCGAAGCUGCGGCAGCGACACUAUGUGUUGUUGGGUAGGGGAGCGUUCUGUAAGCCUGUGAAGGUGGCCUGUGAGGGUUGCUGGAGGUAUCAGAAGUGCGAAUGCUGACAUAAGUAACGAUAAAGCGGGUGAAAAGCCCGCUCGCCGGAAGACCAAGGGUUCCUGUCCAACGUUAAUCGGGGCAGGGUGAGUCGACCCCUAAGGCGAGGCCGAAAGGCGUAGUCGAUGGGAAACGGGUUAAUAUUCCCGUACUUGGUGUUACUGCGAAGGGGGGACGGAGAAGGCUAUGUUGGCCGGGCGACGGUUGUCCCGGUUUAAGCGUGUAGGUGUGUGUUCCAGGUAAAUCCGGUUCACUUUAACACUGAGGCGUGACGACGAGGCACUACGGUGCUGAAGCAACAAAUGCCCUGCUUCCAGGAAAAGCCUCUAAGCAUCAGGUAACAUCAAAUCGUACCCCAAACCGACACAGGUGGUCAGGUAGAGAAUACCAAGGCGCUUGAGAGAACUCGGGUGAAGGAACUAGGCAAAAUGGUGCCGUAACUUCGGGAGAAGGCACGCUGACAUGUAGGUGAAGUGAUUUACUCAUGGAGCUGAAGUCAGUCGAAGAUACCAGCUGGCUGCAACUGUUUAUUAAAAACACAGCACUGUGCAAACACGAAAGUGGACGUAUACGGUGUGACGCCUGCCCGGUGCCGGAAGGUUAAUUGAUGGGGUCAGCGCAAGCGAAGCUCCUGAUCGAAGCCCCGGUAAACGGCGGCCGUAACUAUAACGGUCCUAAGGUAGCGAAAUUCCUUGUCGGGUAAGUUCCGACCUGCACGAAUGGCGUAAUGAUGGCCAGGCUGUCUCCACCCGAGACUCAGUGAAAUUGAACUCGCUGUGAAGAUGCAGUGUACCCGCGGCAAGACGGAAAGACCCCGUGAACCUUUACUAUAGCUUGACACUGAACAUUGAGCCUUGAUGUGUAGGAUAGGUGGGAGGCUUUGAAGUGUGGACGCCAGUCUGCAUGGAGCCGACCUUGAAAUACCACCCUUUAAUGUUUGAUGUUCUAACGUGGACCCGUAAUCCGGGUUGCGGACAGUGUCUGGUGGGUAGUUUGACUGGGGCGGUCUCCUCCUAAAGAGUAACGGAGGAGCACGAAGGUUGGCUAAUCCUGGUCGGACAUCAGGAGGUUAGUGCAAUGGCAUAAGCCAGCUUGACUGCGAGCGUGACGGCGCGAGCAGGUGCGAAAGCAGGUCAUAGUGAUCCGGUGGUUCUGAAUGGAAGGGCCAUCGCUCAACGGAUAAAAGGUACUCCGGGGAUAACAGGCUGAUACCGCCCAAGAGUUCAUAUCGACGGCGGUGUUUGGCACCUCGAUGUCGGCUCAUCACAUCCUGGGGCUGAAGUAGGUCCCAAGGGUAUGGCUGUUCGCCAUUUAAAGUGGUACGCGAGCUGGGUUUAGAACGUCGUGAGACAGUUCGGUCCCUAUCUGCCGUGGGCGCUGGAGAACUGAGGGGGGCUGCUCCUAGUACGAGAGGACCGGAGUGGACGCAUCACUGGUGUUCGGGUUGUCAUGCCAAUGGCACUGCCCGGUAGCUAAAUGCGGAAGAGAUAAGUGCUGAAAGCAUCUAAGCACGAAACUUGCCCCGA